rnacentral:rRNA from 1 species
AAGGUUUCCGACGGAAGGUCAGUCCGCGUCGGGUUAGUCGGGCCUAAGCCGAGGCGUCACAGCGUAGGCGAUGGACAAACGGUUAAUAUUCCGUUACCAGUUGUGGGAGCGAUUGGAAAAUCUCAGGGAGCCCCAGCCUCUUAGUGGAUUGAGGUGGCAAGCGGUUAACGACCGUGAAGCCGGGCGCAAGCCAGAAGUGGGGGGUACCGGGGAUCAAGAAAAGGCCAAUCGUGAUGAAAGCAGCUGCCCGUACCAUAAACCGACACAGGUAGAUGGGUAGAGAAUACCAAGGCGAACGGGAAAACCCUCGUUAAGGAAUUAGGCAAAAUAGCCCCGUAACUUCGGGAGAAGGGGCACCAGCGCGAGCUGGUCGCAGUGAAAGGGCUCUAUCGACUGUUUACCAAAAACACAGGUCUCUGCGAACGCGAAAGCGGACGUAUAGGGGCUGACGCCUGCCCAGUGCCGGAAGGUUAAGAGGAGGGGUGCAAGCUCUGAAUUGAAGCCCCGGUGAACGGCGGCCGUAACUAUAACGGUCCUAAGGUAGCGAAAUUCCUUGUCGGGUAAGUUCCGACCCGCACGAAAGGCGUAACGAGUGGAGCACUGUCUCAACGAGGGACCCGGCGAAAUUGAAGUAUGCGUAAAGAUGCGUAUUACCCGCAGCAGGACAAAAAGACCCCGUGGAGCUUUACUAUAGCUUGCCAUUGCGUUAGAACGUGACUUGUAGAGGGUAGCUGGGAGACGGAGAAGCCUGUGCGCUAGCAUGGGUGGAGUCGACGAUGAAACACCAGCCUGGUGACGUUUUGGCCCUAACCUGAUUGAGUGGAUCCUCAGUAGGGACAGUGGCAGGUGGGUAGUUUGACUGGGGCGGUCGCCUCCUAAAAGGUAACGGAGGCGCCCAAAGGUUGGCUCAGGCGGAAUGGAAACCCGCCGCAGAGUGUAAAGGCAAAAGCCAGCUUGACUGCAAGGCCGACGCGCCGAGCAGAGACGAAAGUCGGGCUUAGUGAUCCUACGGCACUGAGUGGAAGGGCCGUAGCUUACCGGAUAAAAGCUACCCCGGGGAUAACAGGCUAGUCUUGUCCAAGAGUUCACAUCGACGACAAGGCUCGGCACCUCGAUGUCGGCUCAUCGCAUCCUGGGGCUGGAUAAGGUCCCAAGGGUUGGGCUGUUCGCCCAUUAAAGCGGUACGUGAGCUGGGUUCAGACCGUCGUGAGACAGGUCGGUCUCUAUCCGCUGUGGGCGUAGGGAGUUUGAGGGGAUCUGUCCCUAGUACGAGAGGACCGGGAUGGACGAAGCGAUUGUGUGCCAGUUGUCACGCCAGUGGCAUAGCUGGGUAGCGAACUUCGGAGCAGAUAACCGCUGAAGGCAUCUAAGUGGGAAACUGACCUCAAGAUGAGACUCCCCAUCCGCAAGGAGUAAGACCGCAGGAAGACGACCUGCUGGAUAGGCGGGGUGUGGAAGCGCAGUAAUGUGUGGAGCAGACCCGUACUAAUGGUCGAGGGCUUAUGAGA